AGUAAUGAAUAGGAAUCUACCUAAUAGUGGGGGACAACUUGGUGAAAACCAAGCUAAUACCGCAUACGCCCUACGGGGGAAAGAGGAGGAUCUUCGGACUUCUUGCUAUUAGAUGAGCCUAUUUCUGAUUAGCUUGUUGGUGAGGUAAUGGCUCACCAAGGCGACGAUCAGUAGCUGGUCUGAGAGGAUGAUCGGCCACACUGGGACUGAGACACGGCCCAG
rnacentral:rRNA from 1 species